GCCAGGCAUGGUGGCUCAUGCCUGUAAUCCCAGUGCUUUUGGAGGCUGAGACAGGAGGAUCACUUGAGCCCAGGAGUUCAAGACCAGCCUGGGCAACAUAGCAAGAUCCUGUCUCUA
ensembl:misc_RNA Metazoa_SRP Metazoan signal recognition particle RNA